GGAAUAGUGUAUUCUAGAAAGGCGGUUAAUUCAUUCUUCGGUCAAUGAAAAGUCACAAAUAUUUUCUCCAUUUUCUCUCUCUAAGUCCAUGAAUGAAUAAUGAUAAUUUUUUUAUUUUCAUCUCGAUUUCGUUAAGUUUACAUGGUAUCAGAGUAGGGAAUUUGCUUCCUGACGUCAUACGCUCUCCAACGAUCUUACCCUCGCCGAUUUCUGUUACUGAUUUUUUGGUCCCGGAGUUAGAAUCCACUUAGCCGGAGAUCUAGGAUAUCGUAAUCCAAUUUUUGACUCAUAUUUAAUUUGAGGUUUAUCGUUUCUAUCGAAGUUGUGUUCACCCAGGUAUCUCAGAAGUUGCUCAUUUUAUCAAUCUAGAUUUUUGUUUUGGCGUAUUCAAUGCAGUAAAGGCCAUCUUUUUUCCAUGAUAAGAAGAAGUUGGUUGCGCAUUUUGUGGAUCUAGGAUUUUUUAUUUUGGCAUUUUCAAUGUUGUAAAGGGCAUAUUCUUCUGGUGAUAAGAAGAAUUUGGCUCUUUCACUGAAGAGGCCAGUGGAACUUGGUAAUUUGGAUGUUAGACUCUAUAAGUUUCAGGAUUCUCAUGUUGCUGGUUCUCCAAGUGUCUCAAUUCCUACUAUUUGUAAUUUUGCAUUCCCUGUUUCAGUUCCUGUAUGUGUUUCUAAUAUACCAGAUAUUUUUGUCUCUCCAUUACCUGUUGUAAUUUCUUUGCCUUAUAAGAAUCACCUUGCAUCUGGUCCUUGUAAAUAUCAUUCUAAAUCUAAUAAAAUAGAGAUUUUAUGGCAUAACA